ACUGCUUCGAAAGGAACAGAUGGAGGAGGGCAGUUACAGAUGUUUGGCUGGGAAAAUGGAAAGUAGACUGGUUGAGCAGCGCAAAUAACUCAUUAAUUCCUUAUGCUGAGAGAACACUAAUUUAUAAAUGAUAAAAGUAAAUUUAAGAGAAAAAAGUGAAAACUUCUUUUGUGUACAAGUAUCUCUUGUUAAGUCUUUAAAGAAAAAGUGAAGUCUCUUUUUUUUUAAGUAAGGUUGGAUUUUUUUAGAAGCUAAAAUAGGCCAAAAGUUUACCCUUGAAUGAGGGAAAUGUUUAGCUUAGGUUAUGCUUGGCCAGGAUCUUUUGUCAUGCAGCCCAGGGAAUAGGCAGAGCACAUUUAGUGAAUUCUGAGAUUAAAUUACAUGUCUCCUGGAGGAAGCAGAAACAUGGUCUGUUCUGUCAGCAAUUAAAAGCUAAAUAAAGAAAUAGAUUUUGACAAAUCUGUAGUGACUUCAAGGAACUUAGUAUAGGUUUCAGAGGUCCUGUGUAUUAACUUCAUCAGCUGCUUGCAAUGAUAUAUCUUAAUCUAGAAGUGGAAGUGGAAGCUGUAUAGGACCUUUUGGAAUUGCAUGUACCACACAUAUUAGAUGGUGAGUCCUGGCAAAGGAAAUUCAGAAUUUUAGUAACAUGGUGUAGGGUGUUAGGGUGUAUACAUCUGUGUGUCAGUGAUCUCUGUAGGGUUUGAUGUAACCUGUUGGUGGUAUUGUGAACAGUCUAAUCUGGGGGAGUGGGGAAGAGGCUGUAAUUCCUGAAAUCCAUACUUUAGCCAGUGUCAUGGCUAAACAUACAUUACAACAAUGCUUGCCUUUGGUGGGAAAAUGUUCAUAGCUGGGAAUUAUCUGGGUGGUUUUUAGAACUGUAUUCCCUGCACUCUGGGGCAGUAUGCUUUCUGUGAUAUCCUUUUUAUGUUGUGUUUCUUGUUAAAAUAAAUCAUAAGCUGCUGUGAUAAAUGGUUGAACAGGAAACACCUUGGUACCCUCAGUGCCUUAAAAUAAGAGGUAGAAGAAAUCUUUGCCAAAAGGAAGCUGAUAAAUAAUUGCACCAGCACGCAGGGAUUUGGCUGUGUUAGAACAUUCUGCUCCAAGGGGAAACUAAGGCAAAAAUAUGCAAAGUUUGGAGAUCUUACAGUGACUGAAAAGAUACUUAAAACCCCUCCCUUCUGUCUUUACUUAUGUGAGCAGGUGGCUGUAAGCUCACCUUGCUGAAAAGCUGAUGAAGAAGAGAGAAAUCCCCAAAGUAAAUGUAUUUAAGAGUAAAGGAGGACUUGAAACAAAAGGAUAGGUUACAGGUGACAAAUCUAACACUUGUAUCACUGAAUCAAAGCUGGAGAAGAUAAUGAGUACAGUUUAAUUUGGGGGGAAGAGCUGCAUAAUUAAGUAAAAUGGGUUGGUUGAUUGGCCUGAAUGUUAAAUAGAACAUAGAAAGCACUGUGCAUCAACAUAAGUUUGGGGUUUUUGUUUGCUGUUUUUUUUUUUACCUUUUAGGGCUUUUUCCUUCAUCCCCUUUCCCUCUCCCUCCAUUUUAUAACACUGCUGCUCAGAAAUAUUCUUCUCCAUCUUACCCAUAGCCAUAAAUACAGCAAUAGAAGUACUUUUGUACAUUACUGUGUCUACAUUUGGGGAUUUUACAGCUAUAUUUCUUUCUAAAUUUGUAUUGCUUUGUAUUACUGAGGCAUUGUGUUAAAAACAAACCAAAAAAAAAAAGAAAAGAAAAAAAAACACAAAAAACCAAGCCCACACUGCACAGAUAUGACCUAAUCUUUCCUUGGAAAGGAUAGUUAUGACCUUUCCUUUGAGAAAGCCUUGACUGUGUGUUUUUGCUGCAGAUAUUUUGACAGAAGCAGCUGAAGUACAGAUGAGUCCUUUUCUUAGUCCCAUGACUGCCACUCAGAUUUGUCAGGAUGUAAGUAUUAAAAAGAAGGACUUCCCUUUGCAGAGUUAAACCUCUUUUUGCAGUAGUUCCAGGUGUUGUCUGGAAGCAGGAGGGAGUUUUCAGAUCACGUAUGACAGGGGGAGGUACAGGAAUGUCAGAGUGGGCUCUGCCCUCAAAGCUGCCAGCUGUUAACCCUGAUAGAUUAUCUUUCCUCUAGAGCUGCAGUGGAGGAAGGACAUAAGAGUUGCUGUUCGCUAGUAUCUGUUUGUGAUGAGUGAAGAAGCUUCUGUCCAUGACUAAAAUUAUCCCUGCACCCCAGGGUACCAGCAGCAGCACUGUGCCACGGUGACAAAGUUUCCAGGGUUGCUGCUUAGUGAGAAUUUCUGCAGGGUGCUGUUUGUAUUUGAAAUUGUUUAUGCACCUUGAAUUCUGUCCCCUUAAGUGCUGACAUGACACAGUAAAUUAUGUGCUGAAUGUGAUCUUCAGCACAGCCACUCUCUGAUUAAAUUCUGGGAAUGCAGAUUAAAAUUUUAGUCAAAGGCAAGUUCUGCAUUUCUUAGUGCCCAACUUACAUCUUCUCAAUUUUUUGAUGUAGGAUAUUAUGUGGAUCAGGUAAUAUCUGGAUUUGAAAGGGGGAAGUUCCUGUAUUUGCCUACAUUGUCUCAGAUCUCUGGUGGAACUCUGUUGCAUUGUUGUAGUCUAUUUAUGCCUUCCUGCAAGUUCUGGAAGUGCUGAAGCUGCAGAAAGCACAAGUGUGGUUUUGAGCAGCUUUACAGCAUGUUCUGUUUUAAUCACUUUCAUCAGUUUUAUCAUGCAGUGAGAGCUGUGUGCUGUAUCUCCUUAUUGUGGGAGGAGAAGGGGAAAUUUAAGUUGUAAUUAAACCCAAUUUUAAUAUAUAGUUUGCAUAUGAAAAUCAUAAAUGUAAAUGUUACAACCUUUCCUAGGACUGUUUGAGCACUACAAAACAAUAAGUGGUGGGGUGAACAAUUCCACAACAGCAAUUAAAAUACAAGUCUAUGAGUGGCACUUCCUUGUCCAUAGUUUCAGAAUUAGGAAAAAGAGGAUUUUUCAGUUUUGUUCUCAGAGCAACAGCUUCAUAACGCUGAUAUAACACUAAGUAGAAAACACAAAUUGCUCCAGAUUCUGCACAAUUGCACAUUUGAUCUGUCCCAGGAAUUUUGUAUUGGCUGGUUAAAGUAAUUUGACUAGGAAAGAGUCUAUGCACUACUGGUAUCGGGACAGAUACUGGGGUAAAAAAUGGGUGCAUUGCCUGACUGUUCUGCCAAGUUUAAGGUGGUUCUUCCUAGGUAGGAUGUGUGUGCUCUUAGCUUCCAUCCAAAAUUAUAAGUAUUGACCAAAGCAGAUGACUUUUGAUUUGUUUAGCUAACGAAUAGCGUGAUGUAAGAGUACAGAGGUAUUGCUGCCAAAGCAGCCCUUGGAUAAGAAAUUAGCAGGAGCUUUGAAUUUCACAUUCAGCUUUAAAAAUGGAUAUUUAAACAGUAAGGUAGGGGCUCAGGAAAUAUUAGCUAGUGUUAAGUAUCUACAUUGAAAGUUGUUUUCCAAAAUGCUUUCGGAAGGUGGUGGUUCUGUUUAACUGUCAUUGAUUGGGUAGGCUGCUACUCAGGUUUCUGACUUAGUUGUGGCUUUUGUUCUUCUCUGUAGCAAGCACUGUUUUUAAGACAUUCAAAGAUCAAUUCAAAUGCUGUGCACGUUUAAAAUCAUGAUUUUAGAUAUUUAAGUAACCUUAGCGGUUUUAUAAGAACACAGUAUUUAAUUGGCAGUUGUUUGAGUGACUGUAAGGUAGACAAAAGAUUAAAAAAUGGAGCAGAACCUACCUAAUGUGAAAAAUCACCCCUGACUCACGACCAAACAUUGUCUCAGUAUGCUUAGUGCAGCAUUUUUUUCUCAGAAUGUUUCCCGUGUUUGUUAGAUGGCUUAGCUCCAGCAGUGCUUUAACAUAGUCAGCUUGUUCUUUUCUUGUAGGUCUCACUGAUUAUGUUUUCCUUCUCUUCACUACUGAAGUCUGUAAUGUAAGCUGUAUAUUCCUUUUUCUUCCCUGAUUUAUGUAUUUCCUCACAGAUAUAAACUCUUCCAUUUUCUGUAGCUUCCAUGCAACGUGUAAAACAGGAUUUAUUUUUCUGUCCCAUGAGAACUGUACUUUUUAAACCUUUUCAUAUGACACUGUGAUCUGAGGAAGCUUGGACAGGCAGCACUCCUGGUGUUAUGGUAUGGUUAGGAGGGCAAGAGAUGCUGAAAUACUGAGCCUGAUGAAUUUGAGUGUUUGGCACCUUUCCAAAUUUUAUCACCUUUUGGGGCUAUAUAAAUGUGUAUUUCAUGAUACGGCCAUACAAAUGAUGUUGCCUACAUCACAACAUCUUGGUAAGUCCCAGUUGUGUAUGUUAGUCAAAAUAGCAGCUGCAGCAAACAGCCCAAGUGAUAUUUUUUUUUUUACC